GAGGAAGAUGGAUGAUCACAAACCAUCAAACCACCAAACUGAACUGCUUGAAUUUUUACACCAGGAGUAAAGCAGCAUAAAGUUAUCCAAAAGCAGUGUGUAAAACUGGUGGAGGAGAACAUGAUGCCAAGAUGCAUGAAAAAAAAUGUGAUUAAAAACCAACCAGGGUUAUUCCACCAAAUAUUGAUUAUUCCUGAACUCUUAAAACUUUAUGAAUAUGAACUUGUUGUUUUCUUUGCAUUAUUUGAGGUCUGAAAGCUCUGCAUCUUUUUUGUUAUUUCAGUCAUUUCUCAUUUUCUGUAAAUAAAUGCUCUAAAUUACAA